AGUGAACGUUGGCGGCGUGGAUUAGGCAUGCAAGUCGAGCGAGAACCGUAGCAAUACGGGGACAGCGGCGAAAGGGACAGUAAUGUGUAGGUACCUACCCCGAGGUCUGGGAUAGCUGCGGGAAACUGCAGGUAAUACCGGAUAAUGUCUCCGGACCAAAGGUGUGAUUCCACCUUGGGAGGGGCCUGCAUCCUAUUAGCUUGUUGGCGGGGUAACGGCCCACAAAGGCGACGAUGGGUAGCGGGUGUGAGAGCACGACCCGCGUCAUUGGGACUGAGACACUGCCCAGACACCUACGGGUGGCUGCAGUCGAGGAUCUUCGGCAAUGGGCGCAAGCCUGACCGAGCGACGCCGCGUGCGGGAUGAAGGCCUUCGGGUUGUAAACCGCUGUCGUAGGGGAGGAAAUGCAGGUGGGUUCUCCCUCCUGUUUGACCUAUCCUAGGAGGAAGUACGGGCUAAGUUCGUGCCAGCCGCCGCUGUAACAC
rnacentral:rRNA from 1 species